rnacentral:tRNA from 1 species
GCCCUUGUGGCGGAAUGGUAGACGCUGCGGACUUAAAAUCCGUUGGUAGCAAUACCGUGCCAGUUCAAGUCUGGCCAGGGGCA